UACGAAGGGGGCUAGCGUUGUUCGGAAUUACUGGGCGUAAAGAGGGCGUAGGUGGCUUGGUAAGUCAGAUGUGAAAGCCCUGGGCUUAACCCAGGAAGUGCAUUUGAUACUGCUGAGCUUGAGUGCGAGAGAGGUUAAUAGAAUACCUGGUGUAGUGGUGAAAUACGUAGAUAUCAGGUGGAACACCGGAGGCGAAGGCGGUUAACUGGCUCGACACUGACACUGAGACCCGAAAGUGCGGGGAUCAAACAGG
rnacentral:rRNA from 1 species